rnacentral:lncRNA from 1 species
GAUUUCCAUUUUUGCGGUUUUUCAUCAUGAAAAUCUUCAGUGUGCUUCUUAGUAUAGAGCAUGUAAUAGAUCCUUAAGCCAAUGCUGACCUUUGUCCAUGAAGGAAGAGGGACAUCCAGCAACGUUCUGCCCCUACCUUAUCUUCCCGACGUACGCUUAUCUAGCUUCACUGCUUUUGCUGCUACAACUUGUCUUACUUCACCGACGAGUUGGAACACUUCAGUGGUCGCUACCUCCUUUGCUGUUACACACCUGCAGUUACUCACCACGGGAUUAUGCCCAGGUUAUGCAGAAGAGACGUCGAGAAGAUGGACACCAAAACAUCGCCGGUA